UGUUACUAAGAAAAAAAAGACAUUAUAUUCUAUUUUUGGCUAAGUCUGAAAAGAUAUUCAAAUUAAAUAUUUCCUUUUUUUAAUUUUUUUGUUCCGAAUAUUAUGUAAUGAAAAAUAUGAUAGUUCUGGUUCAAGACAACAAGCAUAAAAAAAAAUGAACGAAAGGGUGCACCCUGAUACGACCUCAGAAAUCGAACCCUGAACAUCUGUGGAAAGUCUGGACACAACAUUCAACUUGAUACAGCUCUGAACUUGGAUUGUGAUAUUUGACACAGCAUAUGUUUUGAUACUGAACGUAGGUGGUAGAAUUCAAAAUUUAUAAAUUGCACAUAUACCUAUAUUUGUCAAAUAUCCCAGGACAAAAUCUAAAUACUUGGUUAUAUUCAGCGUAUUAAAGAACCCACUAAUUCAUUUUUUUUUAUUAAAUCUACGAAAAGUUAAAUUUUGGAAUCGUUGAACCUCAAUGUGUACUAAUUUGAUGACGCGUCAAAAAUAAACGGUUAAAAUUCGCAUAUCAAAGAACCCCAGUUUUUAAAUUUUAGUUGAAAUGACACUAAGUUUACUUUUGAAUUUUUAACCGCGAUUUGGACCAACUUGAAAACUGGCCCCAAAAUAAAAAAAAAUCUUUUUAAUAUUUAGUUCCAGUAUUUCAAAUGGACUAAGGCAGCAACCAUUUGAUUUUCUGGGGUGGGGGGUGGGGGGUGGGGGGCUAUGGUUUUCUCUGGAAAAAAAGUUUGUUUCCAGUUUUUGGAGAAAAAAAUAAUUUGUUUUUGAUUCUGAGAAAAAAAAAUUGUUUGUUUCACCCUCAGCUGCCACUAUAUGUAAUGCUAAAAUUGAAAGAAAGGCGAAAAAAAAAAUUUGUCCAGAAAAAACAACCAUAGCCCCCUCCCCCCCACAAAAUCAAAUGGUUGCUGCCUAAUUUAAAAACGGGGCUCAAUUUUAAAUCUUAAUAUACGAAAAGAUUCAACGUGAUAAAGAAGCCAAAGAAUUAAAAACUUUUCAUCAAACUUCAUUUAAAUUGGCCUAGAAAUAAGCAAUUUAUAAAAAAUAUUACAAAAGUAUUGUGUUUGUCCCUCUUUCCUAAUCAGAUAUGCCAUAACCCUAAAUAAAUUCCAACGCUCCUUUUUUUGGUAGGGAAUUUUGCGAUACAAUUAAAAGAGAUUCAUAAGUUGUUGUUCGGAAUCAGAAAAUAAUUUGUGUGUCCCUUUUUUGUCCCUCAUUCCUAAACGGUGGUCAUAACCAAAAAAAAAUCAACCCCAUCGUUUAUUUUGAGUUAUGGAACCUUUUGAUACAAAUUCUUAGCGAUCCAUACACUUAUACACAAGUGAUUGUCCAAAAACUUACCCCCCCCCCCAUCCCCCAAGAUCGAUUCCAACAAUCCUGAUGUGGUAUGAAACGACGACGAAAUACCGUUCUUAAUAUAACCAACCGCAAAAUUUUAAAACUGUUGAUCAAUCCGAUGUUAACUCUUUCAUGAAUGGUUCCUUCAUGCACUCUAUCAUGAUGUAUAAUACUGUUUUGGGUCCUUUAUGGUUAUCUUUUAACAAUGUCCGGGUGUUCACAUAACUGAUUGGAAGAGAGUACUUUCCUAGCCUAAUUUUUCCUGCUUACUUCGUAACACUCGCACUAAUUCAUAACCGUUCCUGGUUUUUGGUAUAAUAUACUUACCAGUCAUUAUCUCCAACUGAAGUGUGUACUAGAAUACUUAUACUUUAUAUAUAUAUACUUACAUGAUAAUAGUGUAUUAUUGUCGUGGUAAAUUAAAUAAACUAUUGAACUUAGUAAAACUAUUUCUUAACCUUAACAUACCGUUAUAUCUAGAUAACAAAAUUUCAAAUCGCGAUUUAAAUCUAUUCAUAUGCAAUAUUUAAUAUUAUGUAGCAAGAUUAUAUUUUUAUUGCGUUGUCGUAGUUUAUGUAUAAUAU
rnacentral:lncRNA from 1 species